CCCGCCCCGGUCCCUGCGCGCGCUUCCGGCGGCGGGGCGGACACGUGGCCGCGGGCGGCGAUCGGCGCCUUCCGUGAGGCCGCGGGCGGUGAGGGGUGAGCUCACCAGAUUAUUAAUUUGGAUCUUGAAAUCCACACCUAUGAGGGGGCAUGCCCUCACCUGUCCAGUCUCCUCUGCUUUCCAGGACUGAAUUUAGCUUCCUGUAGGAAUAGGUGAACUGCCCAUGAAGCUGUUAUUGAACUGUCACACUUUACAGCCCAGUUUAUUUAGGUAAGUGGUGGUGUUUUACUUCUAUACCUCUGGGAGAUAAACUGCAGCAGUUUCGUUAUUGCUCCGUAUCCCACUUGCAGUGGAGGCAGCAAUCUUUAUAAGAGCUUCAUCACAGUGAAGACACUGAACCUGAUCUAAAAAUGAUGAAAGUUGGUACAGAGAGAAUAUUGGCACCCAAGAUGAAGCUGUCACUUGCUAGAGUUAUCCACCUGCCUCCAGAAAUGAAAAAUUCGCUAUUUCGCCUAGAAGUUUGUGCAUCAGACUUUGAAAUCUGUUGUCUGUAAAUAUGAAUAAAGUGUUGAAAACAAGCAGCAUUUUCAAGAAGCCACCUGUGCUCAUAUGCCACAUUGUGCAAAAAGGAAUAAAAAGUGAACUUUGUGAAGUCAUUUGAUCUAAAAUAGAUUGAUUCCAUUUAGUGGUUAAAAGUAAGCAAAAAAACAGGCAGGGAGUAAUGCAAGCCUCUCCGUUGUACAUGAUUAAAGAUUGGUAAUGAGGAGAAGACUUGGAGCAAGAAGUGCCAGAGUUUACACAGUUUUAAAAGGGACUCGUACUAGGAGGCUAGUAUUUUAAAAGCAGUGACUGGGAUUUCUAAAACAGGUCACUUUCAUAGGAUCUUCAGGCUUUAGAUAAGAACUUUUGCCUCUAGGUUGUGUGCCACAUACUUCGGUUUUGCUUUGAACGCUCAUCUAGCUAUUAAAUAACAAGUUGGUUUUAUGUUGUCUGGUCAUUCAUCCUGAUCACCAAUUGCGUAGUCACAGAAAAAAGAACUUAUUUGAUGUAUUUAAGUGAGUGAAAAUACAGUAAAUAUGAAAUGGUAACCUGGGACUUAACCUGUAGGCUGAAGAAUUCUGUUCUACCAGAGGUAGGACAUGGAAUCUAAAACACAGCUGCAGCCAGAGACCACAGCUCUGGAGUUGGGUAGAUGAGUAGUGGAUAGAUGAGCAGCCAGUCACACAACUAUGUUACAAAAUAGUGUCACUUCACUGGAAAAAAGGUGAGCUUGUUUGCUUUAAUUUGCAGUUACCAAAUUUUGUUGAGCUUUUCAUUCUUAGAUUCCUGUAUUUUUCCUUCAAAAGGCAGUCACUAAAUUUGAGUCACCCUUUCAACCUUUUGUUAAGAUAAUCAGAUUAGUAAUCUUUCUCAGUAUAAAAUGUUUUGUCUAACCUUUGGAUAUUUCUGUUCCCUGUACCCUCCUCUCAUUUCUUUUUAAAAUAUGGACACAGGAACUAUAGGUAGAAUCUACCUUAAUGAUGCUGAGCACUGAGGUUAAAGUGCUCCUGAAUUUUGUUCUCAGUAAUCUGAUUCCUUCAUUGGAAGAUCACAUCAUUGCUAUGGAUUUCUGUAAAGAAUUUGUUUGCUGUCUGGUUUUUAUGACCUGUAAAGGGUUUACAUUGCUUAACACUUCUCCUGUGCUUGACACAGCUCUCUUCUGCAGGUGUAGCUGCGAUGUCUCAUUUCUAGAUGUAUGACUUUGCAUUUGAAGGUAACAAAAUGAAAAUGUUUUCAGUAGAUUCAGUGUGUUAAGCAGCAUGAACUUCUCCCCAUUGCUCCAUUAUCAUUAUUACUACUUUGCUGAUUUUUUUUACCCUGAAUUUAUCAGUGUUUGAUCUAUAUCACACCUGAAUCACUAAUUAAAAAAACAGGGUAUGUACCACUUCUCUAAAUAUCCCUGAAACCACAGUGAAAGACAUUCACAUUUCAUGGUGAUUCCCAUUUGCAGUUGUGUUUUGACAUGUUACUCAAGCAGCUGUGAAUUCAUGUACAUAUACUAGGAUUUUUUUUUUUUUUUUUUUUUAGUUUUGAUUCAUAAGGCAUAUCAUGAGUCUGUUUGAACCACUUUGGUUUUUGCUCCUGCGUCUUGUUCACUUGAUCAUCUGCCCUGCAUCAGUGACAGAGAGUUUCCAGGAUGCUUUCUUCAGACAAAAUCCAGACUCAGAAACAGUUCAGUGUCUAGACUAGUGUAGCUAGUCAUACUCUUACAUAGAGUAUGGCUGGUUCCUUCAGGCCAUCCCAGGUGUCCAGUACUACUCCAGCUGGCCUUGCUGUCUCACAUUGCUUCAUAUGAUGGCCCUCUGCACACAGCAUACAUUCUCAGCAUUAUCCAAAAAAGCACAAACGUGCAAGACUGCAAAUCACCCAUCUCAUUGUCUUGGGCACCUUGAAAAAAGUGCUGUUUUUCAAGGAACUUAAGGUAUAUAAUGUGUAAUGUUCAAAGAAUGGUCAGGAGGAAAAACAGGCAAGGAAAGACAAAAAAAAUGUUAUGGACGAUCCUUUCUGCUGAGUUUCAGGUGCAUCCCUUGAUACUGCUUGAAAAAGUGAAGAGCAAAACUAAGUGGAUCUCAUAUUAAGGCUCACAGGGAGAGGUGGUGUAGCUGGGUGCCAAGCGUGAAUCAGACAGUGUCUGUGUGUGGCACGAGCAGCAGGGCAGAGAGCUGUGUUGGCAGGGCCACGAGGUGAAGGCCAUUGGUGUUAAGGCCUUUGAAACAUUCAUCAUUUAGGGUCUCCUUAACCAUGACCUAGCUGUAUUCUCUCCAGGCAUGGAAAGGUGCUGCCUAUGAGGAGUGUGGUCAUAGUCAGCUCUAGGACAUUUUGUCUCCAGAAUGGUGAUCAAUGGAAAAAGUUGUGAAGGCGAUGUAUACACAUUACUCCAACUCCCUGCUAUUCUGGCAACUACUUAAUAUUAUUUAAAUAAAUACAUUGAAUUCUGCAUUGAAAAUUAAGUGCCUUUUGCUAACAUGACUUCAGACAAUCUAGAACUUCCCUCUUCUUCCUAAUCUUCUUCUAACUCCAGCUUUACAUUUAUUUAUGACUUGUUUAUACUCACACCAACAUUAUCUUUUUUUGUUAAACAGCACUGCUGUUCCUGGAGAAUUUAUCUGCUUGAUACUUAUUUCUAGGUAGCUCCCAUGUCCUUUCUCAGUCUUUGUUUUCCUAAGCUGAACAAGUCUUUUCAUGAAGCAGACUUUUGCUCCUCUCAUCAUCCUAAUAACUCUCUUGUGUAAUGUUUGAAUUUGUGAGAAAGGGCUUGUAAGGAAGGUAAUAUAUUUUAUGAGAUCACUGAUAUUGUUGGAAAAAAACAGGAAAGCUUUUGAGUAGACAAGUCAUUCUCACAUAUGCCAAAGCUUACCAGCUUUUUUUCCAACUGUCUCAAUUGUCUUUUAAAAGAUAUUGCCUCUGCCUACAAGCAUUCCCUCUCAUACAUUCUUGGACAUUAUUGACUACACCAUACACCUUUUGAGUUAAUCUUUCCUGAAAUAUUUUAUAUAAUUCUGUCCUCCCAAAUAUUUUUGGGUUUGCCAGUGUGACAGAUGAAUGUCUACCUCAUGUUUCUUGGAAACAUACCUCACCCUACAUAUUUUAGGAUUGCCUUUAAACAACUCACUGGCCAUCUGAGUGACUUCAAGGAGUAAGAUGCCAUGGAUACAUCCUCCUCAGAGCAUGCCCUGUCAGAGGUCUCCCCCUAGAAGAGGGAAUAAGGUGGGAGCUGGGAUAUGGGAAACCUGUGCAAUGAUUCAUGCUUGUGCAAGACAGCUGGUCUAAGGGCUUGGAGAGUCCCUCAAGGACACGCAAGCUGCAUUUGUAAUACCAUUUUGAGUGAAGAGGAUUUCCUUCCCAAAAGUCUUGUUCUCAGCUCCAAAUAAUAGAUGAUCCUGCCAAAAUUAUAUAAAAAUUAGAUGUCUUAUAAAGAUGAAUGGUAUGCUUUGUAGGAUAUCAAGUGCAUUCCUCUCAAACAGUCUAUUUUCAGCAAUUUCAUAAGAAAUUUUGUGCAGGUUUGUAUAUGUGAGGGUUUGACUGGACUCACCAAUCUUCCUCUUUUUUUAAUAAACCAGCAUAAAGUAGAAUUUAUUUACAUAAUGCAAUGAUCCAUGAAGGUUACCAUAACAUCAAGGGACCAUAUUAACCGCUUGAAUGAAAUUCAUUAGAAAUUAACUACCACUUAAAUUAAUUUUCCCACAUUCACAAGGCUGUAAUGGUGGAAAAAGGAACCGUCCAUCAGCAUGUACUGACAGGAGAGCUGUCACUGCUUUUAUUUAUAGGUGAAUACAUUAACCCAUGAAGCAGCCUUUUCUGGCAAAAUCUUGAGCUUCUGUACAAAUAAGCUGCUUCAGAAGACUUUUAAUAAGUAUCCCAGCCUCAGUUAAACAGGAACACAUACUGCUUAAUGCUUUUUCCACUGGCUAUAUGUAUUGUAGCCUUUUUGUAAGCACAGUAGAAAAAUUUGCUGCUAAAAAAUUCAAACUUCACACUGUAUGUAAUGUAUUUUCAAUGGAUAAUAUUAUUGGUUAGAUCUAGUUAUAGUGAUAUUGUAUUCUCAGUAUUGGUAAAACUAUACAAAAAAAAGAUCAUCUAUUGGUUCUUCUUCUUUUAUAGUUUAUUACCUGGUCUGAAUUUUUUAACUCUCUUGAAAGUGAUUAUAUGUACAGGUCUCCAAACCAUAGGAUGAAAGUGAAUGAGACUUUUACCCACGUGGGGUCUAGAAAUAUUUUGGGCAAAUUUACUGUAGUGCAUUGUGGUAAUCAUUCACAUAAACUACAGUGGGAAAGAGCUUUGUGUAACCUGUUGGAUGACCAUAGUUGCCACAAAAUGAUACAGCAUAAGGGGUGUAUCUGUCUUUUAUACAUGUAAACAUCAUAGCUGAAAUGAUCUCAGGACAAUCUCCUGUACAGUUUAAUCCAAAUAAUUUGUUUCAUGUGUGUUUAUGGCUCAAAGCUAAGAGCUACCGUUUACCAAUCAACAACAUUUUGUAUUUUAACAAUGAAAGUUCAAUAAGAAAGGAUUGUUAGCUUUUAAAAAAACACUGCCUUAUGUAUGACCAUUAAAAUAAUUAAAUAAAAUAAGUUUUGCAUCA